CUGGAGGUAUCAGAAGUGCGAAUGCUGACAUAAGUAACGAUAAAGCGGGUGAAAAGCCCGCUCGCCGGAAGACCAAGGGUUCCUGUCCAACGUUAAUCGGGGCAGGGUGAGUCGACCCCUAAGGCGAGGCCGAAAGGCGUAGUCGAUGGGAAACGGGUUAAUAUUCCCGUACUUGGUGUUACUGCGAAGGGGGGACGGAGAAGGCUAUGUUGGCCGGGCGACGGUUGUCCCGGUUUAAGCGUGUAGGUGUGUGUUCCAGGUAAAUCCGGUUCACUUUAACACUGAGGCGUGAUGACGAGGCACUACGGUGCUGAAGCAACAAAUGCCCUGCUUCCAGGAAAAGCCUCUAAGCAUCAGGUAACAUCAAAUCGUACCCCAAACCGACACAGGUGGUCAGGUAGAGAAUACCAAGGCGCUUGAGAGAACUCGGGUGAAGGAACUAGGCAAAAUGGUGCCGUAACUUCGGGAGAAGGCACGCUGACACGUAGGUGAAGUGAUUUACUCAUGGAGCUGAAGUCAGUCGAAGAUACCAGCUGGCUGCAACUGUUUAUUAAAAACACAGCACUGUGCAAACACGAAAGUGGACGUAUACGGUGUGACGCCUGCCCGGUGCCGGAAGGUUAAUUGAUGGGGUCAGCGCAAGCGAAGCUCCUGAUCGAAGCCCCGGUAAACGGCGGCCGUAACUAUAACGGUCCUAAGGUAGCGAAAUUCCUUGUCGGGUAAGUUCCGACCUGCACGAAUGGCGUAAUGAUGGCCAGGCUGUCUCCACCCGAGACUCAGUGAAAUUGAACUCGCUGUGAAGAUGCAGUGUACCCGCGGCAAGACGGAAAGACCCCGUGAACCUUUACUAUAGCUUGACACUGAACAUUGAGCCUUGAUGUGUAGGAUAGGUGGGAGGCUUUGAAGUGUGGACGCCAGUCUGCAUGGAGCCGGCCUUGAAAUACCACCCUUUAAUGUUUGAUGUUCUAACGUGGACCCGUGAUCCGGGUUGCGGACAGUGUCUGGUGGGUAGUUUGACUGGGGCGGUCUCCUCCUAAAGAGUAACGGAGGAGCACGAAGGUUGGCUAAUCCUGGUCGGACAUCAGGAGGUUAGUGCAAUGGCAUAAGCCAGCUUGACUGCGAGCGUGACGGCGCGAGCAGGUGCGAAAGCAGGUCAUAGUGAUCCGGUGGUUCUGAAUGGAAGGGCCAUCGCUCAACGGAUAAAAGGUACUCCGGGGAUAACAGGCUGAUACCGCCCAAGAGUUCAUAUCGACGGCGGUGUUUGGCACCUCGAUGUCGGCUCAUCACAUCCUGGGGCUGAAGUAGGUCCCAAGGGUAUGGCUGUUCGCCAUUUAAAGUGGUACGCGAGCUGGGUUUAGAACGUCGUGAGACAGUUCGGUCCCUAUCUGCCGUGGGCGCUGGAGAACUGAGGGGGGCUGCUCCUAGUACGAGAGGACCGGAGUGGACGCAUCACUGGUGUUCGGGUUGUCAUGCCAAUGGCACUGCCCGGUAGCUAAAUGCGGAAGAGAUAAGUGCUGAAAGCAUCUAAGCACGAAACUUGCCCCGAGAUGAGU
rnacentral:rRNA from 1 species